rnacentral:lncRNA from 1 species
AGAAAGUUACGUUCAAUUUUUGGACUUUAGAGCAUAUCUCUCCCCUAUCAUCUUAUCCUCUGAAGACAAACGAAAGGUUAUCAGCAGUUCCGGUGUUGAUCGGUGCGUUCAUGCGCGUCCGGCCACCGGAGCCCCCCUUUUCUCACAUCUUGUUUCAUCUUUGCUUCCCGGUCUUUCUCCCUCUAUUAUCGUUUUGUUCUGGUCUCUGGCCAGUCGGGUCUUCGUCGUAAAGCAACUGUGCGCAAGGUUCGUUGACGGCGGUGAAGACUUGGACUGUUUGGAGUCAUGACGCGGUGGCGUGCAGGGAUUUUGAUUGGCGGAAUCGGCUUUUUACGGCUGAGAGGGAGGAUUGUGUUUCCCUUUUAGAUCCUCUCUCGCGUCCUCUCUGCUCGUGAUGGUGUGCUGAUUCGCUAUCUAGUGGUGUUGCAGAGUCUCUACUGCUUCUUUCCGCUGAGGCGUGUGGCUUCAAUGAUUGGAACCGGGAACUCUUACGGGUCGUCGGGGUUCUCCUCCUCUUCAGUAUUGCUGACCUCGGGCGAGGAGCAGGGAUCCAAGGAUCAUUCCAGACUGAAAUGCUUGAACCAGUUAUCGUUCUUUUGAUUAACCCUUUAUUAACCAGAGAUCUAGCUGAUGUAAUACUUCUCCACCCGUAUGAGGGAGAAUAUGAUCUGAUUGGGUCCAAAGGAUCAGAUUUCCUAUAGUAUCUUCCUUUAAAAACUCUUGCGAAAAGAGAAUCAGGUUUAUCUAUUGAGCUCCAUAGCUGUUUCGCUAAUAACGCCGUAUUAAAAUUUUGAAUAUCUCUAAAACCAAUACCACCAUCCACUUUAUCUUUGCGCAUUUUAUCCCAUGAAAACCAAUGCAUACCUUUUGUAUUGCCACUGCCACUCCACCAAAAAUGGGAAACAGUACUGGUAAGUUUUUUCGUAAUCGUUUUUGGUAAACGAAAACAUGACAUAACAUGAGUUGGCAUAGGUGAUGCCACUGCUUUAACUAAAACUUCCUUUCCUCCUUUCGUAAUGAAUCGUAUUGUCCAAAUAUUAACUUUAUUACUAACCCUUUCAUUAAGAAAACCAAAAACCUGUGUUUUGGAUCCCCCAAGACUCUCAGGUAUUCCCAAAUAUGUUCCCAUACCACCAAUUGUAGUGAUUCCCAAAAUCUGUUGUACCUCUAGACGAACUGCGUCCGGAACCUUAUGGCCAAACUGUAAGGAAGAUUUCAGAAAAUUAAUAUGUUGUCCCGAUGCUCUUUCAUAGUCUUUCAAGAUCUGUAGGAUAGUUUCACAUUCUUGCCUAUUGGCUUUGCAGAAAAAAAGACUGUCAUCCGCAAAUAAUGGAUGUGAAAUCAUCGGACUACCACGUGCAAUUUUUAGCCCCGUUAGUAACUUUUCCUCCUCCUUUUUCCUUAUAUUCGCUAUUAGUGCCUCAGUACACAAAAUAAACAAAUAAGGUGAUAACGGAUCACCCUGACGAAGACCUCGGUUUGGUACAAUAUGUCCUUUUGGUUGACCAUUAAUCAGAACUUUAUAUUGUACUGAUGUAAUGCAAGACAUUAUCCGAGAUACCCACCUUUGUGCAAAUCCCAGAUUUAGCAGCAUUGCCUCAAUAAAAAGCCAUUCAACUCUAUCAUACGCCUUGCUCAUAUCUGUCUUUAUAGCCAAAAAUUUCUCCUUACAUGAAUUAUUCGUUCUUAAUCCAUGAAACAUCUCAUGCGCAAUCAAUAUAUUAUCUGAAAUUAAUCUUCCAGUGACGAAAGCUGAUUGUGUUUCUGAGACUAGUCGUGGCAAUAGUCUUGUCAAUUGUUGGCAAAGCACCUUCGAAAUAAUCUUAUAUCCCACAUUACAAAGACUGAUUGACCGCAAUUCCGUCAUUCUACUCGGUCGCACCGUCUUUGGAAUGAGGCAAAUAUUGGUCAUAUUUAUCCUCUCAUCCAAAUAUCCAGUCCUAAAAAACUCGUUAACAAUACCUAUGAUGUUUGAUUUUAUAAUCGACCAGGACUGUUGGAAAAAUAAAGUCGUCAUUCCAUCCGGUCCUGGAACUUUUUCUGGAUGCAUCAUAAAUAAAAUUGAUCGUACUUCCUCCUCUGAUGCCCAAGAAGUUAGAGAUCUAUUCUGAUUCUUCGUGAUCAGGGUGGGUAUCUCUUUUAAAAAUUUAUCAUAGCCAGAUGGUGAUGUCGUCGCAAACAAGUCAUUAAAAUAAUUUAUCGCCACAUCUUCUACUUCAGAUUCCGAUGUAACCCAAUUACUGUCUCUAUUAUGCAAGCCCACAAUCUUAUUUUGUAUCCGUCUAUGUUUGGUCAAAACGUGGUAGAAUUUUGUAUCAAGUUUCCAUCAAGUCUCCGUACACAUCUUCUCGUUAUUUACUCUCACUUACUCCACACGCGGUGUUUCAACGUACACGUCUCACGCGUAUUUGUGGUGUCAUCAUGCCUUCGCUGGGAUUUCAUUUUUUAAAGAAUUUUCUAAAAACAAUUGUUUUCUACUGAAAAGAAAGAGAACGCCUUUUUAUUUGUUACGUUAAUCCAAUUACCAUUUAUAUUAAUGUAAAUAGAAAUUCCUAGGAAGUAGGAACCAAAUAAAAGAGACUUAGUAUACAAACUCAUUAAAUUUAAUAUGUCAAUAACCGAUAAGUUUUGAUGUUUAAAACUCUUGAAAAAAACUUAUCAUGAUUUGUUUCAUAUAUAUUUUGUAUAUAUACUUUUUAAAAAUAUCUAGAAAGCGUUGAUUUUUAAAAAUAUUUAAAUAUAUAUAGAAGACGGCUGAUAAAAACAUGCACCACAUUACAGAAAGUUACGUUCAAUUUUUGGACUUUAGAGCAUAUCUCUCCCCUAUCAUCUUAUCCUCUGAAGACAAACGAAAGGUUAUCAGCAGUUCCGGUGUUGAUCGGUGCGUUCAUGCGCGUCCGGCCACCGGAGCCCCCCUUUUCUCACAUCUUGUUUCAUCUUUGCUUCCCGGUCUUUCUCCCUCUAUUAUCGUUUUGUUCUGGUCUCUGGCCAGUCGGGUCUUCGUCGUAAAGCAACUGUGCGCAAGGUUCGUUGACGGCGGUGAAGACUUGGACUGUUUGGAGUCAUGACGCGGUGGCGUGCAGGGAUUUUGAUUGGCGGAAUCGGCUUUUUACGGCUGAGAGGGAGGAUUGUGUUUCCCUUUUAGAUCCUCUCUCGCGUCCUCUCUGCUCGUGAUGGUGUGCUGAUUCGCUAUCUAGUGGUGUUGCAGAGUCUCUACUGCUUCUUUCCGCUGAGGCGUGUGGCUUCAAUGAUUGGAACCGGGAACUCUUACGGGUCGUCGGGGUUCUCCUCCUCUUCAGUGGAGUCAAAGUCAGCUUCGGUAGUGUUUCACUUCGGAGGCGAGUCAGGGUCGGGUACGCAGGUGGAGUUGAUGGUACCUGGCCGUUCUGGUUCGUGUUUGCGUGCUGGACAGUGGCCUACACAAUCGUCUAUGGCUGUUUCACGCUCUGUUUCGGUGCUCCACUUGUCUUUCCAGCAUCUUCUUCUCGUCACCAUUCUGAGCCUUCCGAUUGGUUUGCGGCCGCAUCUCGUUUGGAAGCUUGGGCUCUUGUGUUUCAAUUUUGGUUUCACUGUAGGCACAUGUGAAUAAUUUGGCGUGGCACUUAUCUUUGGUUUUCGAAGGCGGCAAGAGGCGUCCCAGCUUUGGUCUUGCUGUGGCGGUGCCUCUUUUGUGCUUAACUACCAUCCCAGUUCCGGUGAAGGGUCUUUUUGAUUCAUCAUCGGUAAUGUAGUUGGCUGAUAUGUGUGUAGCCCCUUUGGUUUGGUGUGUGGCAUAGAGGUCAGGCCUCUUUUGUGUACAGUUCGGUGGGGGCAGUAGCAAGCAUUUACUUGUUCGGGAGGCGGUUUCAAACGUUGUGUGGCGUUGCGUACAAACCGGGCUUUGGUGGCGCUCGCAAGGCUUAUGGUAAGUAUCCGGAACUCUCCCCUAUUAGUCGUCUGGCGCUUUAAAGAUAGAGAUGGUUAUGAGUUUGGUGGAGUUCAUGUGGAGCCAGCUACUCCGGAGACGACUCGAUAACUCCCGGCAUCCGAGGCAACAAGGAGAACCUCACUUUCUAGUGAUUCUCGUCGAUGGCUGAGAACGGUAACCGAUUCUAAGGAAUGUCGAAGACGGGUUAGCGGAAUGUGUCGUGGUUAAUGGGUGGGGAAGCUAGCUUUGUAUUAGUUUGACCUUGGAAAUUUUGUUCAAAACAUACUUGUAACCGGAUCUAAUUCCCGUUUUUUUGGAC